UAUUGUAGAAGUAUGACCAAUUCAUUGCACAUAAAUUUUAACAGUGUAUCUUAUAUGGAUCCCCAAGGGUCGUAUGAACCCUGGUUGAGAACCUCUAGUCUAAUGCGUCCUCUCUUUCUCUUUUUGAGAUGAUAAAGUAUAAAUUGAGGGAGAUGUGGCUGCUAUAUCUAGCAGUUUGAACAACCACACAGUGGCUUUUUAAUUGGCUCAGUGUAUUUACUUCAUUCAGUAGUUGAUUCAAUUGUCUAUAGCGUUUAACAGUGUUGUUGAUUCAUAUAAAGUCAAACUAGACCACCCUCGCUUAAUUAGCAAACAGUAAACUCCUUUCAUGCUUCAGUUUAAUUCUGUGCUUGUAAUUCUGUGAUUUGUAGUCCAAACCAAUUCGCUUUUUUUUUCUUUUCUUUUGGCUCUUUGUGCCUUUGGAACAUCAUUCCCCAUCUCUAUGAAUUGGUAAUCCUGUGUUUAAGUAAGAAGACAUUGUAAACUUAGGAGAAAGCUAAGACAGCUGAUAAUAAAAGUAAAUACUGUGUGGGAUUUAUCACUGAGCCCCGCUUCCAUCUCUCUCUCUUGUUCAUACACCCAGAAUUCCAGUUUCAAAUCCCAUUAGAGGUGACUUCACCUCUACACUUUGAAUUCUAGGAGAGAGGAGCAAUACCACAAGCACUAGUUAUACACCAAAGACAGCUGAUUGUUCUUCUAUACAAACUGUUCCUGAGCCAACCUUGUAUACACAGACUUCAUUUUAAUUAAUUUAGGAAAGUAAGUAAGAGUUGUGUAAAACCCCUUUGUCAUUAUAAACCUGAUAUUUGGACAUAAAUUAACAUAAAUUAACAUAAAAUUCCAAAUUGAAUAUUUUAAUGUAAAUCACAUUAAGGACUUUGUAUCACAUUUAAGAACUUUGUAUCACAAAACCAAGGGCAUCCUCAAGCAGGUUGGUUUCAGAAAAGGGUGAAAUUAUUUAUGUAGAUGCUUGAAUGAUGAAAUUUUAUUUAUUUUUGUAUUAAUUUUGUAAAUAAAAUAUUUUUUGUUAAAU